AUGAAAGGAUGCUUUGCAGGUUGAAUUGGUAAUAAGGAAGGCAAAGCAAUGUUAGUAUUUAUUUCGAGAUGAAUACAAUAUAAAAGCAUGGAUGUAAUGAUGAGGUUUUAUAAGGCGCUAGUCAAACUGCAUUUGGA